GACGUAGGGCGCGAGCGUUGUCCGGAUUUAUUGGGCGUAAAGAGCUCGUAGGCGGCUUGUUGCGUCGACUGUGAAAACCUGCGGCUCAACCGUGUGGUCUGCAGUCGAUACGGGCAGGCUGGAGUUCGGUAGGGGAGACUGGAAUUCCUGGUGUAGAGGUGAAAUGCGUAGAUAUCCGGAGGAACACCGGUGGCGAAGGCGGCUUCCUGGACCGACACUGACGCUGAGGCGCGAAAGCUAGGGGAGCAAACGGG
rnacentral:rRNA from 1 species